GAAAAAACGAAAAAUUGGAGAAUCAUUAUCAUCUUCUUCGUCUAAUGUAAGUAAAAGUGCUUCUUUCAUUGAUGAUCGCGAUAAUGAUU
rnacentral:ribozyme from 1 species